rnacentral:rRNA from 1 species
GGACAAGAAGACCCUAAGAAUUUUAUAAUUAGUAAGUUUUUAUAAUAAAAAGUUACUAAUUUUUAGUUGGGGCAACUAAAAAAUAUUAUGAACUUUUUAAUAACUAAAAUGAACCACUAUUAUUGAUAACUUGAAAAAAAUACUCUAGGGAUAACAGCGUAAUAAUUUUUGAUAGAACAUAUAGACAAAAUAGUUUGCGACCUCGAUGUUGGAUUAGGAUUCUUUUUUAAUGAAGAUGUUAAAAAAAGGAGUUUGUUCAACUUUUAAAGUCCUACUUGAUCUGAGUUCAAC